UAGGAAAACCGGAUGGUCGCCAUUUAGAUAAUGUAAAUGGAGGAAAGUCCGGGCUCCGCCGGGCAAGGAUGCUGGGUAACUCCCAGGAGGGGUAACCCUACGGAAAGCGCAACAGAAACAUACCGCUCAAUCCAGAAUUGAGCAAGGGUGAAAUGGUGAGGUAAGAGCUCACCAGCAGCCGGGAGACCGGCUGGCUGGGCAAGCCCCAUCCGGAGCAAGGCCAAAUAGGGGGACCUGAGGGCGCCCGGCCCGUCCCCGGGUUGGCCGCAUGACCUAGGUGGUAACACCUUGGCUAGAUAGAUGGCCGUCGGCCUCCUUGAGAGGUUACAGAACCCGGCUUAUAGGUUUACCUGGCUC
rnacentral:RNase_P_RNA from 1 species